GCUAUACAUGCAGUCGAACGCUUUGAUUCUACCGGGUGCUUGCACCCACCAGAAUCAAAGAGUGGCGGACGGGUGAGUAACACGUGGGUAACCUGCCCAUAAGUGGGGGAUAACAUUCGGAAACGGAUGCUAAUACCGCAUAACUCCAACCACCUCCUGGUGGAUGGAUAAAAGACGGUUUCGGCUGUCGCUUAUGGAUGGACCCGCGGCGUAUUAGCUAGUUGGUGAGGUAAUGGCUCACCAAGGCAAUGAUACGUAGCCGACCUGAGAGGGUGAUCGGCCACACUGGGACUGAGACACGGCCCAGACUCCUACGGGAGGCAGCAGUAGGGAAUCUUCCGCAAUGGACGAAAGUCUGACGGAGCAAUGCCGCGUGAGUGAAGAAGGUUUUCGGAUCGUAAAACUCUGUUGUUAGAGAAGAACAAGGAUGAGCGUAACUACUCAUCCCCUGACGGUAUCUAACCAGAAAGCCAUGGCUAACUACGUGCCAGCAGCCGCGGUAAUACGUAGAUGGCAAGCGUUGUCCGGAUUUAUUGGGCGUAAAGCGAGCGCAGGCGGUUCUUUAAGUCUGAUGUGAAAGCCCCCAGCUCAACUGGGGAAGGUCAUUGGAAACUGGGGAACUUGAGUGCGGAAGAGGAGAGUGGAAUUCCACGUGUAGCGGUGAAAUGCGUAGAUAUGUGGAGGAACACCAGUGGCGAAGCGACUCUCUGGUCUG
rnacentral:rRNA from 1 species